rnacentral:rRNA from 1 species
AGAGUUUGAUCCUGGCUCAGGAUGAACGCUGGCGGCGUGCCUAAUACAUGCAAGUCGAGCGAACCACUUCGGGUGGUGAGCGGCGAACGGGUGAGUAACACGUAGGUGAUCUGCCCAUCAGACGGGGACAACGAUUGGAAACGAUCGCUAAUACCGGAUAGGACGAAAGUUUAAAGGUGCUUCUGGCACCGCUGAUGGAUGAGCCUGCGGCGCAUUAGCUAGUUGGUAGGGUAAAGGCCUACCAAGGCGACGAUGCGUAGCCGACCUGAGAGGGUGAACGGCCACACUGGGACUGAGACACGGCCCAGACUCCUACGGGAGGCAGCAGUAGGGAAUCUUCGGCAAUGGGCGAAAGCCUGACCGAGCAACGCCGCGUGAAUGAUGAAGGCCUUCGGGUUGUAAAAUUCUGUUAUAAGGGAAGAACGACUUUAGUAGGAAAUGGCUAGAGUGUGACGGUACCUUAUGAGAAAGCCACGGCUAACUACGUG